AUUGAACGCUGGCGGAAUGCUUUACACAUGCAAGUCGAGCGGCAGCGCGGCCUUCGGGCUGGCGGCGAGCGGCGAACGGGUGAGUAAUGCAUCGGAACAUGCCCAGUCGUGGGGGAUAACACUUCGAAAGAAGUGCUAAUACCGCAUACGUCCUGAGGGGGAAAGCGGGGGAUCGCAAGACCUCGCGCGAUUGGAGUGGCCGAUGUCAGAUUAGCUAGUUGGUGGGGUAAAGGCCUACCAAGGCGACGAUCUGUAGCUGGUCUGAGAGGAUGAUCAGCCACACUGGGACUGAGACACGGCCCAGACUCCUACGGGAGGCAGCAGUGGGGAAUUUUGGACAAUGGGGGCAACCCUGAUCCAGCCAUGCCGCGUGAGUGAAGAAGGCCUUCGGGUUGUAAAGCUCUUUCGGCAGGAAAGGAACGGUGGGCUCUAACAUAGUCCGCUAAUGACGGUACCUGAAGAAGAAGCACCGGCUAACUACGUG
rnacentral:rRNA from 1 species